UAAAGAUAAGUGGUAACCAAGUGUAUAAGAGGUAUCAACUUUCUUGGAUGCAUUGACGGCGCAAUCUAACAUAACGAUAGUUUUAUUAGGUUACGUAUGUAUUCGUGAGAGCGUUUAUGUCGAGAUGUGAAAGCAUCAAGCGAUGAUGUAGUACAGCCUUUAGAACAAGCAAAGAUAUUGUGGAAGUUGCACGCACAAUAGAAGCACAUUUAAUAGAUGCGCCGAAUCCAAUAAGCUAUCAUGUGGUAGUGAUAAGCCAAUGUUGGAAAUACCGACAAGCGUGUUGCGUAUGAAGUCCGGAAACGGAUGUAUAAGACUUUAGCAAGUGCAAGUAGCCAAAGCGCAAUUAGAAAAUGCAAGUAAAGUAAAUUAAAUUUUUAGUGUUAAAUUUCUGAACGAUUGGUGAAAGUUGGCGGUACCAUUCCGCUGUGAGGUAGACAAAAGGGUGAGAAGCAUAUAGGUAGCUCCUAUGUGUUCAGACUCAUCUUCUCAGUGAUCGAAUAUGCUUUAAUCUUUAGAACUGUAGCAUGAACAAAAGUG
rnacentral:sRNA from 1 species